rnacentral:rRNA from 1 species
GAGCAUGUGGUUUAAUUCGAAGCAACGCGAAGAACCUUACCAGGUCUUGACAUCCAGUGCAAACCUAAGAGAUUAGGUGUUCUUCGGGGACGCUGAGACAGGUGGUGCAUGGCUGUCGUCAGCUCGUGUCGUGAGAUGUUGGGUUAAGUCCCGCAACGAGCGCAACCCUUGUCAUUAGUUGCCAUCAUUAAGUUGGGCACUCUAAUGAGACUGCCGGUGACAAACCGGAGGAAGGUGGGGAUGACGUCAAGUCAUCAUGCCCCUUAUGACCUGGGCUACACACGUGCUACAAUGGACGGUACAACGAGAAGCGAACCUGCGAAGGCAAGCGGAUCUCUUAAAGCCGUUCUCAGUUCGGACUGUAGGCUGCAACUCGCCUACACGAAGCUGGAAUCGCUAGUAAUCGCGGAUCAGCACGCCGCGGUGAAUACGUUCCAGGGCCUUGUACACACCGCCCGUCACACCAUGAGAGUCUGUAACACCCAAAGCCGGUGGGAUAACCUUUAUAGGAGUCAGCCGUCUAAGGUAGGACAGAUGA